rnacentral:rRNA from 1 species
GUCCACGCCGUAAACGUUGGGCACUAGGUGUGGGUCUCAACCAACGAGAUCCGUGCCGCAGCUAACGCAUUAAGUGCCCCGCCUGGGGAGUACGGCCGCAAGGCUAAAACUCAAAGGAAUUGACGGGGCCCGCACAAGCGGCGGAGCAUGUUGCUUAAUUCGAGGCAACGCGAAGAACCUUACCUGGGUUUGACAUUCUGGGAAAAGCCACAGAGAUGUGGUGUCCGAAAGGGUCCAGAACAGGUGGUGCAUGGCUGUCGU